GACCGCUCCGGUGGCCAAGUGGUUAGAGCGUCUGCCUUUGUUGCUUGAGCUCGUGGGUUCGAUCCCCGGCCGUGUUA